CUUCCCAGUUUGGAUGAAUUAUAACCAUGUGAUUAGAGUAUAAUGAACAGUUUGGUGGUCCUUGGGUCACUACAAUGGUAGAGGAUCGUUCCCAGCCAGCUCUGUCUGAAUGGGAUGGUCACAUGGUUACCUGACAGAC
rnacentral:snoRNA from 11 species